rnacentral:rRNA from 1 species
CCUAGUUGAUCCUGCCAGUAGUCAUAUGCUUGUCUCAAAGAUUAAGCCAUGCAUGUCUAAGUAUGAACUAAUUUAGACUGUGAAACUGCGGAUGGCUCAUUAAAUCAGUUAUAUUUUUUUGGAUGGUACCAUACUACUCGGAUAACCAUAGUAAUUCUAGAGCUAAUAUGUGCACCAAGUCCUGACUCUUUGGAAGGGAUGCAUUUUUUAGGUAAAAGGUCGGUGUGGGAUUUCCUCCUUCUUCAGUGAAUCAUGAUAACUCAACGGAUCGCACAACCCUUGUGCUGGUGAUGCUUCAUUCAAAAUUCCACCCUAUCAACUUUCGAUGGUAGGAUAGAGGCCUACCCUGGUGGUGAUAGGUGAUUCCGGAGAGGGAGCCUGAGAAAUGACUACCACAUCCAAUGAAGGCAGCAGGUGCGCAAAUUACCCAAUCCUAACAUGGGGAGGUAGUGACAAUAAAUAACAAUACUGGGCUCAUCGAGUCUGGUAAUUGGAAUGAGUAAAAUCUAAAUCCCUUAAUGAGGAUCCAUUAGAGGGCAAGUCUGGUGCCAACAACCACGGUAAUUCUAGCUCCAAUUGCGUAUAUUUAAGUUGUUGCAGUUAAAAAUCUCAUAGUUGGAUCUUGGGUCAUAAAGGUCAGUCCACCUACUCGGUGUGCACCUGCCCUUCCAUCCCUUCUGUCGGUGGUGUGUUGCUAGCCUUAAUUGGCUGGGUCAUAGCUUCGGCGCUGUUACUUUGAAAAAAUUAGAGUGCUCAAAGCAAGCUUAUGCUCCAAAUACAUUAACAUGGAAUAACGUGAUAGGAGUCUGGUCCUAUUGUGUUGGCCUUCAAUACCGGAGUAAUGAUUAACAGGGACUGUCGAGGGCAUUCGUAUUUCAUUAUCAGAGGUGAAAUUCUUGGAUUUAUGAAAUACGGACCACUACAAAAGCAUUUGGCAAGGAUGUUUUCAUUAAGAAAGAAUGAAAGUUGGGGGCUUGAAGAUGAUCAGAUACCAUCCUAGUAUCAACCAUAAACGAUGCCAACUAGGGAUUGGCAUAUGUUGCUCUAAGGACUCCACCAGCAGCUUCUGAGAAACUAGAGUGUUUGGGUUCCGAGGGGAGUACGGUCACAAGGCUGAAACUUAAAGGAAUUAAUAGAAGGGCACCACUAGGAGUGGAGCUUGUGGCUUAAUUUGACUCAACACGGGAAACUUACCAAGUCCAGACAUAGUAAGGAUUGACAGAUUGAGAGCUCUUUCUUGAUUCUAUGGGUGGUGGUGCAUGGCCAUUCUUAGUUGGUGGAGCAAUUCGUCUAGCUAAUUCCAAUAAUGAAUGAGACAUUAGCCUGCUAACUAGCUACACAGAGGUUCCCCUUUGUGGCCAGCUUCUUAAAGGGACUAUGGUCGUUUAGGCCAUGGAAGUUUGAGUCAAUAAUAGGUAUGUGAUGUGUUACACUGAAAUUUGUCACCAUGACUAUCUGCAGUUAAUAUGGCUCCAUCAAUAGUCAUAUUACCCUCCUUAUCAAGCCUCAUACCUCUGCUCUUCAUGUCAAACUUCAGAAAGAGAGAAAGUCACUUAAAAACAUGUUUAUCUCUGGGUACGCAGGUUCUCUCUGUUAA